rnacentral:lncRNA from 1 species
UUGAACUUGAGGUUGUUGAAAUUGUUAAACUAGAGACUUGGGAUUUGGUUGAACUUGAGUUUGUGUCGUGUUUGAACUUGAGUUACUGUUGUUUUUUAACUUGAGGUUGUGGCAAAUGUUACACUUAAGAUUUGGGUGCUGGUUGAAAUUGAGUUUGUUUGUUUGUCUAACUUGAGUUUGUGGCGUGUUUUAACUUGAAUUUUUGUUGUUUUUUAACUUGAGUUUUUGGCAAUUGUUAAUCUUUAGAUUUGGGUGUUGGUUGAACUUAAAACUUUGACAUUUGUUGAACUUUGUGGUGUUUUUGAACUUGAGUUUGUGUUUCUUGUUUGAACUUGAGUCUUUGGUGUUUUUGAACCUUAGUUUGUGUGUUUAUUUAAACUUAAAUUUGUGGCAAUUGUUAAACUUUGUGUGUUGUUUGAACUUGAGUUUGUGGUGUUUUUGAACUUGAGUUUGUGGCGUGUUUUAACUUGAGUUUCUGUUGUUUUUGAACUUAAGUUUUUGUGAUUUUUGAACUUGAUUUGUGGUGUUUUUGAACUUGAGUUUGUGGCGUUUGUUGAACUUGAGUUUGUGGCGUGUUUUAACUUGAAUUUUUGGUGUUUUUUAAUUUGAGGUUUUGGCAAUUGUUAAGCUUUAGAUUUGGGUGUUGGUUGAACUUAAAACUUUGACAUUUGUUGAAAUUUGUGGUGUUCAUUUAACUUGACUUUGUGUCUUGUUUGAACUUGACUUUGUGGUGUUUUUGAACUUGAUUUUGUGUGUUUUUUGAACUUGAGUUUUUGGUGUUUUUGAACGUGAGUUUGUGUGUUUUUUAAACUUGAGAUUUGUGUGUUGUUUGAACUUGAGUUUGUGGUGUUUUUGAACUUGAGUUUGUGUGUUUUUCGGACUUAAGUUUGUGGUGUUUUUGAACUUGAGUUUGUGUGUUUUUUGAACUUAAGUUUGUGGCAAUUGUUUAAUGUGAGUAUAGGUCAUUUGUUGAAUUUGAAAUUUUGGCAUUUUUUGAACUUAAGCUUGUGGUGUUUGUUGAACUUGAGUUUGUGGCAAUUGUUAACCUUGAAUCUGUAUUUUUCUCUGAACUUUAGGUGCUGGCAAUAUUUGAACUUGAAUUUGUGGCGUUUGUUGUACUUGAGUUUGUGUAUCGUGUUUGAACUUGAGUUUGUUGUGUUUUUGAUCUUGAGCUUGUGUGUUUUUUGAACUGAAGUUUGUGGCAAUUGUUAAACUUGUGACUUUGGUGUUGGUUGAACUUGAGAUUGUGGUGUUUUUGAACUUGAGUUUGUGAAGUGUUCGAACUAGAUUUUCUGGUUAUACUUGAACUUGAGUCUGUGUGUUUUUUGAACUUGAGUUUGUGGUGUGUCUGAACUUUUUUGUUUUUGUUUUUUUUUAACUUGAGGUUGUGGAAAUUGUUAAACUUACGAAUUGGGCAUUGGUUGAACUUGAGUUUGUGUGUUUGAACUUGAGUUUUUGUCGUUUAGAACUUGAGUUUGUGGUGUUUUUGAAAUUGAGUUUGUGUGUUUGUUGAACUUGAGUUUUUGCAUGUUUGAACGUGAGUUUGUGGUGUUUUCGAACUUGAGGUUUUGGCAAAUGUUAAACUUGAUAUUUGGGUGUUGUUUGAGUUUGUGUCGUGUUUGAACUUGAAUUUGUGUCGUGUUUGAACUUGAGCUUGUGGAAAUUGUUAACCUUGAGUCUGUAUUUUUCUCUGAACUUUAGGUUUUGGCAAUUGUUAAACUUGAGAUAUGGGUGUUGGUUGAAAUUGAGAUUGUGGCUUUUUUUGAAUUUGAGUUUGUGGUAUGUUUGAACUUGAGUUUCUGUGGUUUUUGAACUUGAGGUUGUGGAAAUUGUUAAACUUGAGAUUUCGGUGUUGAUUGAACUUGAGUUUGUUGCGUGUUUGAACUUGAGUUCGUGGUGUUUUCGAACUUGAGUUUUUGUGUUUGUUGAACUUGAGUUUGUGGCGUGUUUGAACUUGAGUUUGUGGAGUGCUUUUGAACUUGAGUUUGUCUGUAUGUUGAAAUUGAGUUUUUGGCGUGUUUGAACUUGAUUUUGUUUUGUUUCUGAACUUGAGGUUUUUGAAUUUUUUAAACAUGAGAAUUGGGUAUUGAUUGAACUUGAGUUCGUGUGUUUGUUGAACUUAAGU